ACGGGGAGGAGGUGCAGUUCUGGGCUGCAGUGACCACAGGCUGCUGGCAGCGUGGUGGCAAUUGUAGGAGGAAGAGCCGCUCCAUAAAGACAACGAAGAUGGGUGGAAUGGAAGUGUUGACACCCUUUGGUGGAGUCCUGUGAGUCACAGCCAUGCAAGGUGGGGACCGGGGACGUGGACCUGGGUCCUUGCACAUGGUAAUACAUGCACUGAACCAAACAAGUCACCGCCUGGCCCCUGGAAAUACAAUUUCCAAACUCACGAAUGCUCUGCUUCUAUCAGUACCUAACUCCACG